GCGUAAGCGCACGCAGGCGGUCUGUCAAGUCGGAUGUGAAAUCCCCGGGCUCAACCUGGGAACUGCAUUCGAAACUGGCAGGCUAGAGUCUUGUAGAGGGGGGUAGAAUUCCAGGUGUAGCGGUGAAAUGCGUAGAGAUCUGGAGGAAUACCGGUGGCGAAGGCGGCCCCCUGGACAAAGACUGACGCUCAGGUGCGAAAGCGUGGGGAGCAAACAGGAUUAGAUACCCUGGUAGUCCACGCCGUAAACGAUGUCGACUUGGAGGUUGUGCCCUUGAGGCGUGGCUUCCGGAGCUAACGCGUUAAGUCGACCGCCUGGGGAGUACGGCCGCAAGGUUAAAACUCAAAUGAAUUGACGGGGGCCCGCACAAGCGGUGGAGCAUGUGGUUUAAUUCGAUGCAACGCGAAGAACCUUACCUACUCUUGACAUCCAGAGAACUUUCCAGAGAUGCAUUGGUGCCUUCGGGAACUCUGAGACAGGUGCUGCAUGGCUGUCGUCAGCUCGUGUUGUGAAAUGUUGGGUUAAGUCCCGCAACGAGCGCAACCCUUAUCCUUUGUUGCCAGCGGUUAGGCCGGGAACUCACAGGAGACUGCCAGUGAUAAACUGGAGGAAGG
rnacentral:rRNA from 1 species